UUACAGUCUCCUGAGCAAACCGUUACUCAUCAGCUGUUGACCCUGUGACCAAGAGAAGCAUUGACAAGGCUCCAAAGGAAUUCCCUCUGGAGAAAUGAGUUCAAAAGUAGAAAAGGUCAGUGUCCUAACAUUGGAAGGCUACCUUCAAAUUUUGGCCAAAAUAACUGCCUUGACCUGAUUUUACAAACCAGAUUUGCAUGUCUGCAACAUACUUUAUGUGACUUUCUAGCUGUUUUUUGUUCUGUUUCAGGGACAGAAUGAGGGCGGCAGACUAUGAAGUGAUUAGAGACAUGGCUUCCCAGGAACCCUCAAAUGGACCAAUGUGCAGAAAAAACAGAAGCCCAAGGGGGUCACUGGAGGAUAAGAAUGAACCAACUGCGUGGUGAAAACAUUGAUAGGAUUUGAAAUUCACCUUCACUCACCAGAAAUCUCUCAAGCAGAUACAAUCCAAUUUAAAGCAAGAAAGCCUGAGACACAAAAAUCAGGGGCAUCAGUGAAAACUUCCCAGAACACAGCUAACCGGAGUUGGUAGGAAUUGCAAAGUCCUGUACUAACUGCCUUGCCAAAGUCCCAGCUAAGUCCACAGAGCACUUAAAGGACACCAUACGUC